rnacentral:rRNA from 1 species
CUACGGGUGGCACCAGUGGGGAAUAUUGCGCAAUGGGGGAAACCCUGACGCAGCAACGCCGCGUGAAGGACGAAGGUUUUCGGAUCGUAAACUUCUUUGAUUGGGGAAGAAUAAAUGACGGUACCCAAAAAACAAGCCACGGCUAACUACGUGCCAGCAGGCCGCGGUAAUACGUAGGUGGCAAGCGUUGUCCGGAUUUACUGGGUGUAAAGGGCGUGUAGGCGGGGAGACAAGUCAGAUGUGAAAUACCACGGCUCAACCGUGGGGGUGCAUCUGAAACUGUUUCUCUUGAGUGCUGGAGAGGAAAGCGGAAUUCCUAGUGUAGCGGUGAAAUGCGUAGAUAGUAGGAGGAACACCAGUGGCGAAGGCGGCUUUCUGGACAGUAACUGACGCUGAGGCGCGAAAGCGUGGGGAGCAAACAGGAUUAGAUACCCCUGUAGUC